ensembl:lncRNA
CACAUCACACUUCUGCGUUGGUUUUCUCUCGGCGUUUCCAGGCUCGGCAUAAAUUAUCCUUGCUGCUAUUGACUCCUUACUAACCGGAGACAGUCCAUCCUAAAAUAGUGCUACCACAAGGGAUGGCUAGACUUAUUUGCCAUCAUGGCUGUUCUUGGGCGGCUCCAGAAGUGCCUCAGUGAUGCUGCUACACAGUGUUAUUGCCACCUCUUCUGAUGAUCCCUACAGUUUAGAAAAAGGGACUCUACACUGGCUUGGGCCACUGAUGGCCAAGGUUCUUGAUUCUAAUCUUUUGGACUGCGCUGGAUAUGGCAUCUGACUUUCCUGUCUGCCCUCUUGGUCUUCAGUCUCCCGGGUUAACCUGAAGCAAGCUUUGGCCCAACGUUGAGACAUAAAACACAACAAGAAAUCUUUCUGCUGUCACAUGACUGCAUGAUCAUAAAGCUAAACACAUACAAUCUACUUAGAAAUAUUCUCUUCCAUCAUGGCAAAUGUGUGCAGUUGCUUUUUUGGUUAGUUUGUUUUGCCUUAGAGAAGACAGCCUCGGCCUUGGCAGAAUCAGUGAACUUGAGGCUAGAUCCUCAGAAGUCCUAUGAAGGUGGGUUUUUUUUUUUCUUCCUACUUUGAUUUUCAGAUGCGAAAAAAGCCAGAUUCGAGUGCUUUCCAUAGCCUGGGAAAUUCCUGUAGCUCAUUUCUCCUGAAGUGUGUGUCCGACGACCUCAUUAAAUCACUGGGUGCUACUCUAGUCCUGAGCAGUCCCAUUUUUCAGGGUUACUUUCUUCCCACUCCCACUGGGUGAGAAUCCCAGAGUUGAAAUCGCACUAGAUCAAAUUAUUAUCAUGUACAUGGAGUUAAGGAAAUGUUUUGACCAGUUUUGAUCCUAAUGCCCCUGGACCUUUGUGUGCUUCAAUUCCUGGACACCCAAAUUGAAGAUAUUAUCAACUGC